GUGUGAUCUAUGCAUGAGUAGACGGUAUAAUCCUAAGAAAUUUGUAGCGGAGCUCUAGUCCUGACAAGGACUUUUCUCCACUGGAUCCGUGGUAACUGGAAGUCUGGAACAAGGCGCUGCAAAGUGAAUAGCUCUAGCCCUCCCUAGUUACUGGACGACACACAGUUCUAGAAGUACAACUGUUUUUUAUUGUGCCAAACACAACCUUUUAUACUCAGACCCCAGCAUGGGGUCUCCAUACAAAAAACGAACGAGGGGGUUACGGGCAAGUAAUAAACCGAAUGGAGAGAGGACCAAGUCUGCUACAAAAUUACAGUGAC